AAGGUUUCUCUUCCUCAACUUCAGGUUUGACAACAAUUUCAACUUCAGUUUUCUGAGAUGGUGUUUCCUCUGUUUCUGUUGUAAUUUCAAGAGUUUCCUCAUAGGUAACUAUUGAUUCUUCAGUUGGGACUUCAGAAGGUUUCUCUUCCUCAACUUCAGGUUUGACAACAAUUUCAACUUCAGUUUUCUCAGAAGGUGUUUCUUUUUCCUCUG